rnacentral:misc_RNA from 1 species
UUUUAGUGCAUAAAGAUCUUAUCUUUAAGUUUCUUUUGGGUAACUGAAAUGCAAAUCUGUUGUUAAGGACAGAUUUCAUGGGUUCUUGUUUUAGUAUUGAAGAAGAUGAAUCAGAACCGCGACCACAUAACAAGCCAGUUGGCCAUGGAGUUGGUGCAUAUCCCAGAUCAAAUCCUGUAAUUCCCCAGAAUGCAAAUCUUAAUGCUCAUGACCCCGAAAAGGCAAACAGCAUUGUGGUGAUUCCCAAAAAUGUCAAGGACCUGCGGCAGAAUCCUGGGAGUAGCGACCUUGAUAUCUUCACAUAUGAAGAGAUGAAGUUGUCUACCAAGCACUUCCGACCAGAUAAGGUACUCGGAGAGGGUGGGUUUGGCAUUGUCUACAAAGGAGUUAUUGAUGAAAAUGUCAGACCAGGAUACAAGACCACAUAUGUUGCCAUUAAGGAGCUUGAUCCAGAAAGUCUUCAGGGCGACAGAGAGUGGCUGGCAGAGGUGAAUUACUUGGGGCAUAUUCGACAUCCGAAUCUGGUGAAGCUGAUAGGGUAUUGCUGUGAGGAUUACCAUAGACUGUUGGUUUAUGAAUAUAUGGCAUCUGGCAGCCUGGAAAAGCACCUUUUCCCUAAAG